rnacentral:lncRNA from 1 species
AAUCAAGUACAUAAAAAUAAACCAGAGGGAACAACGUGCAAAGCAGAAUAAGGAAUGACCAACUUUACACUUCUCAGCAGUGUUGGUGGUAUGAAUGGUCCUCCUGUGAAGGUCUCCAGGAGCCAGCAGCACAAUAAACCACAGAGAUUUUUGUAAAGCUCCACAAUGCAAUUUCUUAGUCUUAAAUUAUGCUGUAAAGGAAUUGAAUAAUUCCUUCAAUUAGAUUUGUAUUGCAGACAGUAGGCACUAAAUAAAUGAGGGAGGUGUAGCACUCUGUAACUACAGACAGCUAUUUUUAAAGAUAUCUUCAGUCAGUCUUAAAUUAAUCUUGACCUUUCUGUCAUCUUUUUUUGUCUGGGACAGACAUUCCCCAUGCUCCUUUACAUACAGUUUGAAUAUCCUUUCAGUUUGAAUGAGUAAGCCUGGCAGUCAGUUAGAACUUUGCCUUGAGUGACCUGACCACUUUCUUCAGAAAGAGCUUUUCCUGAGAGUUUGUCUUUAAUUGAUGAUACACUGAGUGUAAUUUUGUCUUGAAAAAUAAUUAUACAAUGGAUGGAAAUAGAUGUUACUGAUAUGAAGUAGUAAUGGACAAUGGUACUGUGUUCCUGUACAGGAAAAUCAGCAAUGAAAAUAUUUCUCCUUGUCCUGCUCUUAGUUAAAAUUGACUGAUGAGAGAUUUGCUGGUGGAAAUCAUCCUGGAUGUGGAUCUGCCUCAAGAACCUCCAGACAGCACAUUUUUCAGAUGGAUGGAAGUGCCCCAUGUGUCACAGCACUGGAGAUGAGGCUGUUCUUCUGGAGAUGACAUUCAGACCUCAUUCUGCUGAAACAACAACUUUGAAUUCUUUCCCAUAA